rnacentral:rRNA from 1 species
GGCGGGGUAAAAGCCCACCAAGGCGACGAUCUGUAGCUGGUCUGAGAGGACGACCAGCCACACUGGAACUGGGACACGGUCCAGACUCCUACGGGAGGCAGCAGUGGGGAAUUUUGGACAAUGGGCGAAAGCCUGAUCCAGCAAUGCCGCGUGCAGGACGAAGGCCUUCGGGUUGUAAACUGCUUUUGUACGGAACGAAACGGUCUCCUUUAAUACGGGGGGCUAAUGACGGUACCGUAAGAAUAAGCACCGGCUAACUACGUGCCAGCAGCCGCGGUAAUACGUAGGGUGCGAGCGUUAAUCGGAAUUACUGGGCGUAAAGCGUGCGCAGGCGGUUAUAUAAGACAGAUGUGAAAUCCCCGGGCUCAACCUGGGACCUGCAUUUGUGACUGUAUAGCUAGAGUACGGUAGAGGGGGAUGGAAUUCCGCGUGUAGCAGUGAAAUGCGUAGAUAUGCGGAGGAACACCGAUGGCGAAGGCAAUCCCCUGGACCUGUACUGACGCUCAUGCA